AAAUUGAUAAUUAAUUUUGCAUUUUUUUUUUAGAUUAUCUCUGAAACGGUGCAAAAUAUCAUCAAUUAGAGAGUGCGGCGAGUAAGAAAGGUUUCCCGAUGUCAGUAGGACGAGCCGCGUCGCGAAACAGAGGCGAGAACAAAAACUGAUAACUGGCUAUUGCUGCGAAGAUUCAUCAAAGAGUUUGACUUUUAUGACCGAUGAAAAGUGCAUGAGUUUGUGUUUUUGCGAUCAAUAAUUGCUCUCUUAUUAUCUUGGAUAUGCAUUUUUAUCGUGUAUAUUUGAGCUGAUAAGUUCCGCAUCGUUCAUCAGCUUUCGCUCGGAAAUAUAAUAAAAUUCUGUCGAUGAUUUUCUCUUUACAAGAGAGAUUAUUUUCCAUGCUUGUACAUUUUCAGACCGGCAGAAUAUUGCGAAUCGCAUAUUAUACUACAACGUGAACUAUUCUUAACGAGAUUUGCGUACAAAUAAAAUAAUAAAAGUGAAAGUUACAUACACUAA